CUGCACCCUGGCUCCGCCUCCGCGCCCGGGCGCCCGCUAAUGGUCCACUCUGUUUACUUGUGUUUGGAUAGCAACUGAGUCUUAAAGGCACAGGUUUGCUUGAGGUUUCACUGUUAUAGAGACAGCCCAAGGUGACUCAAUUCAAAACUCACACGCAAAGACAACGCCCACCCCCUUCCUUCUUGCUGCCACUUUUCCUCAUAGUGUUAGAAACUGAACAACUGGUUCUCUGCUUUUCAAAGAUUGUGCGCAGAAGACUUUUGUAGUUUUACUUGGUACGCUCGUUGGCUAAUUUUCACUUCUUAACACAUUUAACACAGCCAUCCUCUUCAAAGGAUAAAGUCAGUUCUAGAUUAUACUCUCCAGUACAUAUCACUCUUCUCCCAAUUUAAAAUGGUUUCGUACAUACUUUUGGUUGAUUAUGACUAUACGUGUAGUAUACUUUCGCCUGCUCUUUUCAAAACGAAGUUUGUUUAUAGAGGUGACAAUUGACUUAUUUCGUAAUUACUGCAAAGACAUUUGGAACGUUCCAGGAGAAAUUUCCAAUAUCUAAGCUUUAAUCAACUAAUGUACAUUUUAUAAGUAGUUCACCAACUUAGUUAAAGGGUUGGGCAUCUGCAACCCACUGGCAAACAAUAAAAGAAUUCAUCU
rnacentral:lncRNA from 1 species